GCGGCUGUAGCUCAGUGGUAGAGCACUUGCCUAGCUUGUGCAAGGCACUGGGUUCGAUCCUCAGCACCACU
rnacentral:tRNA from 1 species